rnacentral:rRNA from 1 species
UACGUAGGCAGCGAGCGUUGUUCGGAGUUACUGGGCGUAAAGGGUGUGUAGGCGGUUGUUUAAGUUUGGUGUGAAAUCUCCCGGCUCAACUGGGAGGGUGCGCCGAAUACUGAAUGACUCGGGUGUGGGAGAGGUGAGUGGAAUUCCUGGUGUAGCGGUGAAAUGCGUAGAUAUCAGGAGGAACACCGGUGGUGUAGACGGCUCACUGGACCAUAACUGACGCUGAGACACGAAAGCGUGGGUAGCAAACAGG